AUGUGGAAUCACAAUUACUAUUUCAGUUCAACAUCGCCACAUAUUUAUGAAGCACGAGACUGCAGAUGGAGCGCGCAAAAGCCCCACUGGAAUGGAUGGGCGGGCCUCGCAGCAGGGUUAUUACGUAAAAAUGUGUCACUCGGAGCAUGGGGUAGGGCAAAUCCUGUACCACUGCAGACUCCGUCGACUCAAGGAGGAACCGAGAUGAGCAUCACUAGGCUAUCAGAUAAACUGCACACUUACCGUUUCAAUACAGGGAUGGUUACCCGUUACCCGUCUCAUAAAGCUCUGGAGUUUGGAGUUUUCUGGAUCACACUCAACUCUCCCAUCAGUUCAUGAAAGCGGAAGUUUUCUUGGUUGUCAACCCUGUCUCCGAGCUGUUGAAUAUUUCAAUGUGUUGUUAGGAAUCAAGAAUUAUAGAGGAGCACCAACUGAGACCGGAAUGGAAAGUCAACUUUAAAGUAUAAAUGUAAGACUACUUAAAGGCAAGUACAGUCAGGUCCAUAAUUAUUGGCACCCUUGAUAAAGAUGAGCAAAAAAUACUUUUUAUAGUCCUCAGAACAGCCUCAAUUCCUCGGGCAUGAACUUUACAAGAUGUCGAAAGCGUUCCAUAGGCAUGCUGUCCCGUGUUGACUCCAGUGCUUCCCACAGUUGUGUCAAGUUGGCUGUGGAUGUCCUUUGGGUGGUGGACUAUUCUUGACACACACGGUAAACUGUUGGGCGUGAAAAACCCAGCAGUGUUGCGACACUUGACACACUCAAACCAGUGCGCCUGGCACCUACAGUACUACCAUACCCCUUUGAAAUGCUCUUAAAUAUUUUGUCUUGCCCAUUUACCCUCUGAAUGGCACACAUACACAAACCAAGUCUCAAGGCUUGAAAAUCUUUCUUUAACCUCUCCUCCCCUUCAUCUACACUGAUUGAAGUGGAUUUAACAGGUGACGUCAAUAAGGGAUCAUAGCUUUCACCUGGAUUCACCUGGUCAGUCUAUGUCAUGGAAAUAGCAGGUGUUCCUAAUGUUUUGUACACUCAGCGUAUAACUCAGUAUUUGUAUAAAUAAAUUAUAGAAAUAGUGAGCUAUAUUGUAUGCUCCAAAAAUUGGGACAUGAUAUUAUUUUAUACUAAUACAAUUGCUCAGAGAACAAGAUUGUGUAAUAAUAACAAGUAAUAAAAAAGAUAGGGGUCAAAAUGAUUGGCACCCCUGUUUUCAAUACUCUAGCACCGUCACCUUCUGAGGAUAAUGACACUGAGCCUUUUUCUAAAACAUUUUAUGAGAUUGAAAAACACGACGGGAGGGAUCUUAUACUUUACCUCCGUACAGAAUCUUCCCAGAUCCUUGAUAUCCUUUGUCUGCUCUUAUGGUUUCCCCUUCAAUUCAAACCACAGGUUUUCAAUGGGGUUCAAGUCCUGUGACUGAAAUGCCAUUGAAAAAUUACAUUUUGUAGUCAAUUAAGCAUUUAUUUGUGGAUUUUGAUUAAUGCGUGGGGUUAUUGUCUUGCUGAAAGAUCCACUUGCGGCCAAGUGUCAGCCUCCUGGCAGAGGCAACCAGGUUUUUGGCUAAAAUGUCCUCAUACCGAGUAAAGUUAAAAUGAUGCUGUUUACAGGACCAGUGGAAGCAAAAUAGCCCCAUAACAUCAAAGAUUAGAUAUUUUUCUGCAUAUGCUUCCGUUUUUCAACGCUAAAUCCACCAUUGGUAUGUGUGGAGUUUGAUAAACGGCAUUGGCACUUGGAUUGGAACCAACACUAUAGUCAGAAAAUAGAGCUCUUUGGCCACGCACACCUAUGUUGAGUUUGGCGUUGAAAAACGGAAGCAUACAGUUGAAGUCGGAAGUUUACAUACACCUUAGCCAAAUACAUUUAAACUCAGUUUUUCACAAUUCCUGACAUUUAAUCCUAGUAAAAAUGUCAUUUAGGAUCACCACUUUAUUUUAAGAAUGUUAAAUGUCAGAAUAAUAGUAGAGAGAAUGAUUUAAUUCAGCUUUUAUUUCUUUCAUCACAUUCCCAGUGGGUCAGAAGUUUACAUACACUCAAUUAGUAUUUGGUAGCAUUGCCUUUAAAUUGUUUAACUUGGGUCAAACGGUGCAUGUAGCCUUCCACAAGCUUUCAACAAUAAGUUGGGUGAAUUUUGGCCCAAUCCUCCUGACAGAGCUGGUGUAACUGCGUCAGGUUUGUAGGCCUCCUUGCUGGCACAUGCUUUUUCAGUUCUGCCCACAAAUGUUCUAUGGGAUUGAGGUCAGGGCUUUGUGAGAGCCACUGCAAUAACUUGACUUUGUUGUCCUUAAGCCAUUUUCCCACAUCUUUGGAAGUAUGCUUGGGGGUCAUUGUCCAUUUGUGACCAAGCUUUAAGACUGGUGUCUUGAGAUGUUGCUUCAAUAUAUCCACAUCAUUUUCCCUCCCUCAUGAUGCCAUCUAUUCUGUGAAGCGCACCAGUCCCUCCCUGUCAAACGAUGUAUGGAAUCAAUCUUUAGGAUGUUUUUAACAUAAAACUUCAACAAUAUUCCAACCGGAGAAUUCCUUUGUCUUCAGAAAAGCAAAGGAACGGGAGAUACCUCUCAUGUGAAAUGCGUGUGACCAGCGCGUGACUGCUGGCAGACCUCUGACUAAUUCCUCUCUCAUUCGGUCCCACUUCACAGUAGAAUCCUCAAACAAGUUUCUAAAGACGGUUGACAUCUAGUGCAACAUAACAAAUAUCCCAUUGUGUAUUCAAUAGGGGCUGUUUUGAAAAUCGACUAAACUCAGAUUUCCCACUUCCUGUUUGGAUUUCUUCUCAAGUUUUUGUCUGCCAUAUGAGUUCUGUUAUACUCACAGACAUCAUUCAAACCGUUUUAGAAACUUCAGAGUGUUUUCUAUCCAAUAUGAAUAAUAAUAUGCAUAUAUUAGCAACUGAGACUGAGGAGCAGGCAGUUUACUCUGGGCACCUCUGGGCACCUUUCAUCCAAGCUACUCAAUACUGCCCCUGCAGCCAUAAGAAGUUUUUAAUUAACAAGAAAUUUGUGGUUGUAGUUGAAAAACGAGUUUUAAUGACUCCAACCUAAGUGUAUGUACAUUUCCGAAUUCAACUGUAUGUAGAAAAGUACCUCAUACCUACAGUAAAAUAUGGUUGUGGAUAUUUUAUGUUAUGGGCUAUUUUGCUUCCACUGGUCCUGGAGCCCUAGAUGUUUUUUAAAUGACUUGUUCUCUGAGCAAUUUUGUUAGUAUAAAAUAAUAUAAUAAACCCAUUUUGGAGCAUGCAACAUAGCUUAUUUUAUACUGUCUUUUUUGUUAAUCUUUAUCAAGAGUGCCAACAAUUAUGGACCUUACAUAUGUAGAUGUAGAAUUGACUAGAAUUGCACUUAGGAGAUGCAGCUGGGUUUCAUUGCCAUUGUUCUAUUCAUGACACUCCUUAGCUACAGUGUAUGUGCAUCACCAGCAUAACAAUACCUGCUUAAUUCAACUGAGAAGGGUAAUGUAGAUGUCAAAUAAAGAUCAGGUGAAGUGUGUGUCCACUCCAUCUAUUCACUUUCUAUGUUGAUGUGGCUAAUACCUUUGUUGUAAUUCUCUCUCUCUCUCUCUCUCUCUCUCCCUACAGCUCCACACUAAGAGUCCAGAGACUGAAGAGAUAAUCACACAGGAAAGGAUCCUUCCAGGGAUCUGAUCUGCAGAGAGAGUGUGUGUGUGUGAGAAGGACGUGUGGCAUUUGUUCUUAACCCCCUCCACCCCUCUACUCUUUACCCAACAUCCCGUUCUCUAACCUCCCUUACCCC
rnacentral:lncRNA from 13 species